ACGAUAUAAAUUAGAUUUGAUUAUCCUGUUACAAUUGUCUUUUUCAAGCAUCCACGGAGGUUCUACCGCUGUUCGGAACUGUUGGAAAAUUUACUGAAUUAAAUCUAAACUUAGAGAUGAAAUCCAUCAUUCUGAUCGUGCUGUGUGUGUGUUUGCUUGCCUCUGUCCAAGUUGCCAUGGCAGGGAAUGGUUGCUAUUGUGUGUAUCACAACGACCAGACGUGCAGUAAUUAUUGCCAGAGCGAACUCAGCUGUAGGGGCGGAUACUGUGGAUCAGGCUGGUGUGUUUGCAAGUGUGUCGGUUGUUAAAAGUAACUGGACAGAGAGAACGGAAACAAGACUACAUGUACAUGACAUAUGUCAAAUGAACUUCUAUUAAACCAUUAAACCAU